rnacentral:other from 2 species
AGUACCCUGCUGUGUUUGUGAUGCGGCCAUUAAGUUUUGUACCAACACCUUUAAAAUUGGUUCAAGCUCAUGCCAGGUGAUGUGAUAGACUUCGGUCAAGACUGAUCCUGCAGGGAGAACCAGUCCUGCCUUUCGCAGGUUCAAAACAUCUCCGCACACGGCAUAGCGGGGAGGCC